GACGAACGCUGGCGGCGCGCCUAACACAUGCAAGUCGAACGAGCGAGAGAGAGCUUGCUUUCUCGAGCGAGUGGCGAACGGGUGAGUAACGCGUGAGGAACCUGCCUCAAAGAGGGGGACAACAGUUGGAAACGACUGCUAAUACCGCAUAAGCCCACGGGUCGGCAUCGACCAGAGGGAAAAGGAGCAAUCCGCUUUGAGAUGGCCUCGCGUCCGAUUAGCUAGUUGGUGAGGUAACGGCCCACCAAGGCAACGAUCGGUAGCCGGACUGAGAGGUUGAACGGCCACAUUGGGACUGAGACACGGCCCAGACUCCUACGGGAGGCAGCAGUGGGGAAUAUUGCACAAUGGGGGAAACCCUGAUGCAGCGACGCCGCGUGGAGGAAGAAGGUCUUCGGAUUGUAAACUCCUGUUGUUGGGGAAGAUAAUGACGGUACCCAACAAGGAAGUGACGGCUAACUACGUGCCAGCAGCCGCGGUAAAACGUAGGUCACAAGCGUUGUCCGGAAUUACUGGGUGUAAAGGGAGCGCAGGCGGGAAGACAAGUUGGAAGUGAAAUCUAUGGGCUCAACCCAUAAACUGCUUUCAAAACUGUUUUUCUUGAGUAGUGCAGAGGUAGGCGGAAUUCCCGGUGUAGCGGUGGAAUGCGUAGAUAUCGGGAGGAACACCAGUGGCGAAGGCGGCCUACUGGGCACCAACUGACGCUGAGGCUCGAAAGUGUGGGUAGCAAACAGGAUUAGAUACCCUGGUAGUCCACACCGUAAACGAUGAUUACUAGGUGUUGGAGGAUUGACCCCUUCAGUGCCGCAGUUAACACAAUAAGUAAUCCACCUGGGGAGUACGACCGCAAGGUUGAAACUCAAAGGAAUUGACGGGGGCCCGCACAAGCAGUGGAGUAUGUGGUUUAAUUCGACGCAACGCGAAGAACCUUACCAAGUCUUGACAUCCCUUGACAGACAUAGAAAUAUGUAAUCUCUUCGGAGCAAGGAGACAGGUGGUGCAUGGUUGUCGUCAGCUCGUGUCGCGAGAUGUUGGGUUAAGUCCCGCAACGAGCGCAACCCUUAUGGUCAGUUACUACGCAAGAGGACUCUGGCUAGACUGCCGUUGACAAAACGGAGGAAGGUGGGGAUGACGUCAAAUCAUCAUGCCCUUUAUGACUUGGGCUACACACGUACUACAAUGGCGUUAAACAAAGAGAAGCAAGGCCGCGAGGUGGAGCAAAACUCAGAAACAACGUCCCAGUUCGGACUGCAGGCUGCAACUCGCCUGCACGAAGUCGGAAUUGCUAGUAAUCGUGGAUCAGCAUGCCACGGUGAAUACGUUCCCGGGCCUUGCACA
rnacentral:rRNA from 1 species